UGUUAUUGUGGCUUCGGUCGAGAGUGAAGAGUUUCCAAUCAGAGUUUCCUACCAAAACACUUUCUAAGAUUAAAGUAACUGAACAACUUCUGUAAUUCUGCUCUCCAGAAAAUACAGCCCCUCCACUUCCAGAAACUGAUUAACCAACCCCCAUCUUUCCUUCCAUCUCUCCCUUUUAACCUCCCCCCUGUAACUAACUGUUGUCCCCACUAAGGUGGUUUCCACUCACCUCCAAUUCCAUCACCUGUGCACGUGCAAUUCCACUUGUCUUUCUUCUGCUAUAUUGUAUUGCAAUUGGUGGUCUAUCAUUACUCUCCCUCUCCAAAGACACCUUGUUCUCAAUGUGGGCAAAUGAGGAAGCUUUUGUGUAAAAUCAUCACAAUUCUCCCAUGUAGCCUCAUGAGGUGGUAUUGCCUUUCCAACUAACAAGCACUUCCCACUUCUUUGUUGCCUGGAUUUUUAGGAUAGCCAAAAUUGUCUGCUGCUAGUAACUCUUGAAAUGUAGGAACAUCAUCAAUUCCAUAUAGUUCGGUAAAUGUCAUUCCUCCCUCCAUAAGCUCGACAUUUUGUCAAGAAACCGUAAUCAGAUGGUGUCCAUGUCUCCAUCUAUGUGUUACAGGACUCACUCUAGUCUUUGUCAAACUCGGGUCACCCCUUAUAACAACAUUCUUUUCAUUUUGUAUGAAAGUUAAAGUGAGUUUCCGCCAAUCCACUUCAGUUACCCCCAAUCGUGUGCAGCCAUUGCAUUCCAAGGACUGACAUCACGAUAGAACACUGAUGUAGUGUUUACUAUUAUAUUGACAAUUCAAACACAACUUACAACAUAAGCAAACCGUGAACCUCAGAAAAUGAGUCACGUUACAUAUAAUUCACAAACAUCAAACAAAGAAAACCUCCUAAUCCAAAAUUCCAAACAACAAAAUACUAAUAAGCAAACCAGAAUAUAGAACACCAAUCUUCUGCUUCCCCUGAUCUUUCAAGGAGUAUUGCAGACCUUUUCCUUCACUCCGCAAACUCACUUUAACAAAGAGGCAGCCACAUUCUCAGGUACAGAAAAUAAAGUAGGUAGUAUGUAGGAAGGCUAACCAGAACUGAGUUGCAUAAGGUUUGUCUUUCGCCUCUAGAGAUGUUAUAUCUUUUCCACCUUUCAAGUUUCUUGUGAAUUCGAUCAAUGACUGGUUGCCAAAAAGACUUUUGUCGAGGGUAGCCUCUCAAAGGGAGACCUAAAUAUAUAAUCGGAAGCUGGAAUAAAAAAAGAAGAGUAUCAUCGACAAAUUGAAGCAAAGGGAGGUGGAUCAAGUCUUUGCCAACAAGGAAACCUUUCAAACUGGCUGUUAAUAUGAAGCUUGUUUAUGAUUUCUCCUAAAACCUCACUUACUAGGAGGAAUAAAAAGGGGGAGAGGGGGUCCCCUUGACGGAUACCUCUAGAUGUUGUUAUCCGACCUUCUAGGCUUACCAUUGAUGAAGACUGAAUACUUUGGAUUUUUUAGGCAGCCCAUUAUCCAUGAUAUCCAUUUGGAACUAAACUUUUUCAAAGAUAAAUUUUUUUUCUAAAAAGUUCCAAUUCACCCUAUCAAAGGCUUUUUCCAAGUCAUAGUUUUAAAAUCCAUCCUUUUUUCCGUUUUGCCCUAUAAUCUUCCACGGCCUCGUUAGCAAUUAAUAUUGGGUUAAGAAUUUGCCUACCUUCAAUAAAGGCGCUUUGAGUGGGGCUUAUAAUUGCAUCCAUAACUUGUUUUAGACGUUCAGAUAAAACCUUUGCAACAACCUUGUAUGCUAACGUAGUAAGGCUGAUUGGACGGAAAUCCUUGACUAGAGUCACAUUCUCUUUUUUCUGCACUAAACAAAUGAAGUUUUCUUGGAUGCAAGCAUUUAAUCUUCCAUUUAUGUGGAAAUCAUACAUUAGUGAUUUGAAGAUAUCCUUGAAAAUAGACCAUUGGGUGAUUAGGAACUUCACUAUGAAGCCAUCCGGGCCCGGAGCUUUAUUGUUGCCAAGUGCCUUUAAUGCCUUAAAGAUCUCCUCCUCACUGAAAAUUGGGUAACAAGAGCCUCAUUCUGAAUUGAGGAAACACAAGACCAAUUACUGUUAAUAGGGAUGAAUCUGUCCCCCGGAAUUCUGGUAUAAAGUGACUCAAAAAAUUCCAGCACAAGACGUUGUCAAUGUCGCGGAAUGAAGUCGAGACAACCCCAUCAUCAUUUUUUAAUUCAGUUAUGAGGUUCCUUCUUUUUUUCGCAUUUAAAAAACCGGUGGAAGAAGCUCGUAUUCUCAUCACCCAAAGAAAUGCCAAUUGAGUUUACUCUUCUGAAUAAAAUUACGCUCUUCGUUUUGAUAAAUACUAAGUAAUUCCGCUUGCAAAGCAGCUCUAGAAUUCAACUCUUCUUGAUUUGAAUCCAAUCAACUCAGCCACAGAAUCAUAUUUUUCUAAUUUUGACAUCAAGGAUUUCUCUGUUUUUUUUUACCUUAGCUUGCGCAGCAAUAUUCCAAGCUUUUACUGCCAAUUUAACUGAUCUCAACUGCUCAUGAAGAUAUGAAACCAACCCAUCCCUGGAAGUUAGAGUUGCUCACUAUUUCAACAAUAAUCUGAUUAGAAUCACUGGACACCAACCAGCUGUUACAAAACCGAAAAGGAGAGGGACCCCAAAGAAAAGAACUAGCCUCCAAGAAUAAAGGAAAGUAUCCGAGAAGAUGCGUGCUUUUCGAGAAACCCGAAGAAUUUUCAAAACAAACAUCCCACGUCUGAUUUUAUGAAGAAUCUGUCUAAUAAUGAUCUUCAACGAGAAUUACCGUCUCUAGACCUAAGUGAACCUUCCAUUUUGCAAUGGAAUUUCCAUGAGAGAAACCAUGUCAAUAAACUUAUUGAAUCAAUGACAUUCCUCUAGUACUUCUGCCAAAAGGAAAUCUUUCCCGGGCCCAACGAGUGAUAUUAAAAUCCCCACCUAUGCACCAGGCCACGACCGAACAAUCAGCCAAGGAAGACAAUUCGGGCCAAACCAAUUUCCUUUCUCUGCAACCACAAGGGCCAUAGACAUUUGUGAUCCAACAAACCUUUUUGCACAAAGUGAGGCAUUUGAUUGACAAAGAGAGGCGUCUUUUAAUGACCUCUGUUACAGAUAUUUUACUGCUAUCCCACAUGGUAAGAAUUCCCCCAGAAGAUCCAACAGAAGCCACAUAAUCCCAGCCAAUAUCCUUAGAACUCCACAAUGAUUUUAUAAAAGCCGAGUUCAAGGUGUCCUUAGAUUCUUGAAUCAUGACUACAAUUGUUGAUGAAUUUUUUAAGUGCUGCACGUUUAGAUGAGUUGUAAUAUGCAUUAUGCAUAUAUGUGGUUCCUGAGUUUGUAUAAAUAUUAUUUCUUAUAGUGUCAUUUAGUUUCUUUAAAAUAUUAAUAAUAAUAAAUAUAAAAAACAGUUUCUUUUACGAAAUUUUAUACACUGUCCAACUUUUUACUGAAUCAAACUCCAAAAAUAUGGUGAAUCCAAAAAUAAUUAAAGAAAUUGUAAUGUAUAACCAAAUAACUUGUAUAUUUUGUGAAUACAACAUAGUUCUGAUUUUUUUUUAUCUUUACACUUAUUUGUUUGUGGUGAAAAAUUGUUUUAUAAAGGAUUAGGACUUUAGUGAAAUAACUCUCAAAUUCCCUAAUGGAUAGCCAGUUUUAAUACUCCUAACGUAUGCAACUUUAGUGGAAUCUGGAUGGAUAUUAAUUGGAAUAACUCCUAACGUCAAAUAAAAAGCCUACAUCAUAAACUUCUUUUUAAAGGAACAUGACUCUUUUAAUUGGAUAAACAAGUCCUCUGGACGGGGUCCAUAUGAGAAAAGAACUUCUAGAAAAGUUUGUUAUCAAUGAUCUUUGUCAAUAUUCUUCCUUUGCAAAAUGAACCAAAAAUCUAGUGCAAUAUUCUUCGUACCUCCUACUCAUCCUCUAGACUUGUUUAUCCAUUGAACAAAAACAAAGGCUCCAUAAGAUAGGGUAUUUUUGGGAUAUUGCCUACAAUCAAGCGAAAAUCUAUCUAUAUAUUUUUUUGUGCCCAACUACUUCUAUCUUAGAUUUUUAUCUUUCUAUAUAUUCUCAUUUACAAAGAUCAAGCCUAGGUCUUGAACUUUUUCCAUAAGAAGUGGAAUCCUCUACUAGAGGUGCUGAGAACGAUAAUGUACGAGUCAGUCCGUGAAAAACUCACAACUGCUACGUGGGCUUCUUCAUCCUAAUCGAAUUUGCGGAAAUUCCAUCAUCUAUCCCAUGAAAGGGAAAUAGAAUUGAUUAUGUAUAAUAAUGAGUUACUUUGAAAGGAGUGCAAAAGAAAGGCAGAGGAGAAAAGGCGAGACCAAAAGCUUUACCGUCUUCUUUUGGAGCAGGAAGCCUCAUUCCUUCUUAUUUCCUUUUAUUCAUUCCCAGUUUCAGCUCUUCUUGCUAAGGAUGGAUCACUCUUUCAUUCAUGAGGUAAUUAGAUAAGUGGCUUAAAAGGAGAAAUAGAUAGUCGAAAUACCGUAGGUAUUAGCUCAAAUUCAGAAAUGCAAGGUUUUGACUCCCUCGCUCCUAUGCCUUCCUAUGCCUUUCAUCCUAAAGUUUCUGAAACUUCCUUUUAUUUCCAGGUAGACUUUUGAGAGCAGGAAGACAACUAAUCAUGCUGGUUGGAGUCUCCAACGAGUAUCUGGAUCUCCCCUCCUCCUCAAACCUUUUUUCUUAAAUGCGCUUCUCACGCAUAUUGAAUUGUGCCUCUUGGCACUACCCAUAAUGAUCCUUCUCAUUAUUUAAGUGCAUUUGAACCUUCUAAGCUCGAUCUCUUGUGAUAAAUGGACAUGAUACCUUCUUACAGAAAGACAAUUGUACCAGUUUGUAAUUAGGUUCUGCGUUGAAGACCUUAUUUGUAAAGCUCUCUAGAAAAUAGAUUGAAAACGAAGUGAAAGAAUUUCAUUUUGAUGCUUCACUCAAUUUUUUGGAGGUUUCGAAAAAGAACUGAAGGGGUACGAUCGACACUACGGGGUGUGGCUCAUGGUUGGUUAAGCUAGUGGCUAUCUCAUUGCUUAUGAGAAUUUCACAUUCAUACUCUUCAGAAAGGUUUUCUCGUAUUUGGCAUCCAACCUGAAUGGACAUCUAGAAUGGUUAAUAAUUUCUUCAUGCCUUGCUUAGCUUCUUCCUGAUUCCCAAACUAACGACACAAAGGCAAGGAAAAGAGGUGUGAAAAUAUAUUGAUAGUCGCGGCAAAGGUUGAGGUCUCAAGAAUCUUCCCCUAAUCUCAUCUACUCUAUGGUUGUCCUAUAUUCAUGUAUAUCAAGAAAAGCUAAAAGAUAGACACCCAUUCACUUUAUAUUAGUGUACAUAAAGUCAAAUUAUUCGAUCUGACAUUCUUCCAUUUCCUAAAGUCCUAAAAACAAGGUGCGUGCAGACGCGAGGUUCUAAUUGAUCAGUAGUUGAAGGAGAGAAAGUAGCUUAUUUGCUAAGAAAUUCUUUAUUACUAUGGUAUGAUGAACAAGUAAGAAGGAGGGAAGGAAAAAGUCCAACAAAAGGAACCUACGACAAGGAAGGAAAGCCUAUUACCCACAAGAGUGCAGAAUCAAGGAAAAGUUUGCGGGUACGAGCUCUCUUUCAUUCGUCGAACUCAAGCAAUCUCCGUUUUACACCUCUACUAAACUGAAUUAAUUGGCUUUUCCAAAACUAGUAAAAAAACAUAGUAAACCUUGGACCUAUGGCUAUCCAACCAGGUCUUUCCACAUAAAUGGGUAAUGAGGUAGAAAGGAAUAGCGAAGAUCAGUUAAAGAUCAAGAGGCAUCAAAAUGAAAUUCUCCUUAUAUCUUUUCUUUCGAGAUGAUUAACUUCCUUAUUUUUAUAUCUUGAGUCUAUCUUCUUCUUUCUUUAUGUAAGACCCAAACUUUGGGUAGUGUAGUCUUUUUACAAAGAGUUUAAGAGGUUUGAAAGAAGGAAAGUUUUUGGUUCAAUAUCAAAGAAUAGUACUUUUUAAGGCGUAUUGAUGUUGACUUGGCAAAAUGGGUUUUAGAGGUUAGGGUUUAGGGUUUUGUGUGUUUAAGAGUUGGCAAGAAAGAAGGUAUUAAAGAGGUUAGGUGUUUUAGCUAACUUCAGAAAGCGAGUUUCUCACAACUCGGAAAAUUACACUCAAUCUAGACUUGAAAAACCUCAUAAUUUGAGUCUAGUUUAUUGAAGAAGGUUGCUGGGCGUUUUGGAUAUGAGAAAGUUGACGUUUGGACAAAAGAAGGCAAAAGGGUCAGUUUGCGAGUGAAUCUGAGCAAGCUACACUCUUAGAACGCUACAGAACGCAUCGUUUGGCGUUUUCUUCCCUCAAAAUUUCAGGAAAAAUUUUUUAGGGAAGAAAACACAUUUAGAGAAACUUUGUAGAAGAAAGUUUUGUCAAAAGAGUUAUGGAUUUUAAGUUAUAACUUUUCUAAGUUGGGUUAUGUAGUUUGGGCGAGAAACUAGGUGAGAUGACCUUGGAAGUUAACUAUGCGUUUUGGACAACUAUGUGGCAUGAUAAGGGCAAGCGGUUUAAGGUUUUAGUGAGGUGUAAAACCUUGUUAGCAUGCAUUUUAAGGUGUAAAGUAAGUAGGAGGUUCCUUAAGAAGGUUUAAGGUGAAUUUAAGCAACUGAUGAGGUGUCAACUUGUACUCAUGCAAUGAACUCUAUAAAUAGGCCAAAUUUAGUAUUAAGUUUCUCACAAUCCACUCGAGUGUUUUGAGUGAAAUUAGUCUUAAAAGUUUUCAUUUUGUAGUCUAUUUUCUAAGUUGGGGUUUUUGAUUUAAUUUGAGUAACGGAGAGUUGCGUUUUGGCGGUAGAAAGCAAGAAAGGUCAGAAUACAGGUGGUUCUGAACAAUGUGAACUUCCAGAGGGCUGUAGAGUACAUCCGUUGGAAUCUGAAGUUGAAAAUUUUAGGUAUGAAUAACAAGACGUUUUUCAACAACUUUGUAGAAGGAUAUAUGUUUAUUUGAGUUCUGGAUUUUAAGUUCUAAAGCUCUUGCCGAAUUAUGGUUGAUUAAUCAUUGAUGUCCUUAAAAGUAGAAACGUGACAUAUCAUGUAUGCCCUUAAGUAUCUCAAGCUUGUGUAGGCCAAGUUCAAAAAAGAAAAUCAAUUAUGUUUAAUAAGGAAGAAAUAAAAUAUAACUUGUACAAAUAUUCUGAAAAUCAAAUGAAUAAAUGGAGUAAACACAAACUACAAUUAUAAACAUCCAGAAGGGUCAAAUGUCUACGAAUUGACUAAUGAGAUUCAAAAAUACCAGUCAUGCUUGCAUAACUGACUGAAAAAAAUGUAAUGUUUCCAAAAGAUGCCGCAUAUCUCAAGUCCAUUAUAAGAAAACCUAAUGUUCUUCAGUUUGUAGUAUCAACAAUGCAUGAGUAGUGUUAAACAUGUUAUUUCAUUUAGUUUGCGAACUAGUAUGACCUUCCUCUAUUCUCAUUCAUUCAUCAUCGAUCAAACAAAGUUUAAAGAAAUUUGAUCACAAAAGCUCUUUCAAACUAAAAAAAUAAAAAUAAAAACAAACAAAUAGAUUAAAAAAAAAUUAAUUAUACCAAACAAGGAAUAAUUAACUAAACAAAAUGUAAGGGAUUGAAUCUUAAGAAAACAAAUUACUAAAACCAUAUCUGAUACAAAUUUAGGGGGUUUUUUUGUCUAUCAAAUAAACCAAUAAAACCAAUCAACUUCAAGAAUUAAAAUUCACAAAAAUAAUUCAAUAAAAGAAUGGCAAAAAGACCUCAAUAUCACAAAAUUAAUAAGACGGAAUAGAUGCAUUCGUACAAACUUGUUUUAUUGCAUGCUCACCACCCCUUCCAAAAUUUAUUUGAUAAAAAUUUAGUAAACUUAAAACACAGACAAUAACAAAAUUGUUGCAAACCUGCAUUUACUGGUCAAUGUCUUUAAAUAAGCAUUCUCUGACGUCAAUUCUUGAUUUUUAACUUCAUAAGCAAUCCACCUAACCAUGAGACAAUUAUGAGAAUAUGUUCAUUUAACCACUAACAAUCAUGCUCAUGCACAAACAUUUAAAAUAGAGGUUUUAACAUACUAUCCUUUUAUAGAAAUCGUUAUCAGUUUUCUUGCCAUUCCAAGUUCCACGUCGUCACCCCUCUUUCUGUUCAUAUCAUACAUUACAAAAGCCAGUAAAUGAAAGGAAUGAUUCCAUUAGUCGGGUAAAAUAUUGAUAAAUAACUUAAAAUAUACUUGUAGCAAAUUCAUUAUCUCCGUUCCUGAUAUAGAUGCUUUCUUUUUCUCCAUUAAGACUUGAUACUUUGGUUUAGACAUACAAAAACUCCUAUAUAACCUGAAUCCAACUUGAGCCUAGAACCGAAAAAUAACCUAAAAGGUAUCUCACACACAAUUUGAUGUACUCCUUUUCUUUCUUCUUCACCUCAGGUAUUUGUUGAGUUCCUACUUGCUUUGCACACAAACAGAAAACCAACAUUAGUACUAAAAUUAAUUACAUAGAAACUAGUAUCUAUCUCACAGCAUCCAACUACCAUAACCUGAUUGCCAAUAACCCUUCCUCAGGAGUUCAACAUUUUCCUACUGUAGCUUGUCAAUUUGAGCUUUAAAAGCAGCCUUACCUUUGGCUUCCUGUGGAAAAGAACUUCCUUGUUCAAUGUUAAAUAGAGAGAAAUCAUAGAAUUUAGACAAGUCUCGAGAUUGUACUAUUCGUGUAACUGUUGCAAUCUCCCUAUCUUUAAACUUGUACUACCGACUUUAGCCUCUCAACUUUGAUGUCUUCACAACAUCAGAUAUGAUUUAUAUUGUACCCUGACACAAGAAUAUAAAGGUGACUGAAUACACGGAACCAUGGUUGUGUGAAGGAAUAUUAAAAAGCUUUGCAACAUUAUUACCCUGAAAUGUAGAGACCUUUUAUUCCAUAUCUUAAACCAAUCUCCCACAACAAGAAAUGAACCAAAAUUAGAAACAGCAGCUCUUUCAACACUACCGAAAGACAUAAUCUCACGAAGACACUUAGUUUAUAAAAUCGAAUCUUUAACGCAUCACCAUUCUCAUCAAAUGUUAAACAAAUCUCCUUCUUAAUUCCAAUUAUUUGAUAAGCGAGAAAACAAAAUAGAUCAUUAAGUAACACAAAUUCACGAAAAAUCAAACAUAAUAGAUCGUUAAAUUGAAAUGUGACGGUAGAACUUGACUAAGCCUGAUCCUCUUAGCUCAGAAGACAAGGACGGGUCGUGUUAUGAGAAAUGUCAAGGUAGACUUAACUAAAACUUAACUAAGCAUGGAUAACAGAGUAAUUUUUCUUUCCAUUCCAACAAAUGCAAAAUGAAAAUCACAAAAGAAUCUCACAUAAUACAAAUAAAAAAUUCUUCCAUUAUCUUCUUCAGAACACAAGCAUCUCUAAUCUCCACCACCGACAAAGACCCAAGACAUUAAAAUUAAGAACAUAUAGAAUCAAAAGCAACACAAAAGACCAAAGAGAGAGAGAAAAAGAUGGUUCAACAUCUAAUAACCAUAAUGAUAGAACAAUCAACAACAAACUAAUGUCAUAUCUCAUCAAAUUUUUCCAAAAAAUGAAAUAAAAGAGAAAGGAAGUAAGAAUCAGACAAGCCAACGAUACCAUGUCUAUUUUUGCAUUUGAAUUUUUCCUACCUCUGUUAAGUUCCAAACAUGUUUUCGAGUCAUUGGAAAUUACUUUUUAUGUUACAAAAUCACUUGGUAAAAGUAUAGACACAAACGAACGUUAAUAUGCCAUGAAAUAUCACUUUUAACAAAACAUUUAGCUUUGUAAAAAUCAAUUUUGUUAACUAGUUUCGUAAAAACACUCUCAAAUAUGUCUUCCAUAACCUGGUUUAAGUUUUCAAGAAAAAUGACUAAUGGGCCAGGAUACUCAUGCCAUGGAGUGGCAAAAAAGAGGUUGAGCUUUGUAUUUUAAGUAUCAUGUUGAUGAAGACAUGUAAAAGGUCUUAUGAUACAUAUCAGUUGAGAAAACAAGUAAUAAAAGAGAAAUAUUUGAGUGUAUCAAGAAAGCACCAAUACAUAUAGAAGCUUAAGCUAAUGGAUAAGAGAGUAAAUUUAACAUAACAUCCAACACUCUUUCUCACUUGUGAGUUUGCAAAUAUGAAAACCUAGAGCCACGCUAAGUGAGAAUGUAAGUGCGUAUAUUCAUGAAAUAAGAUGUUAGCUCGUAAGACAUUGAUUUGAAGUAAAUAAGAUAUAGCAAUAUAAGAAUAGAUACGUUGUGGUACGUUAUACCAACACAUAGAUUUUAACUGUUAAAUCAAAAAAGAAAAAACAAAAACAAAAACCAAAAACAAACAAUAAAAGGCAUUAUUAAGGCGUAGUUAUAUGUAUCAUGGUAAUUAACAUUUUUAAGCAAAGCUAGAUGGACUCACUGGCUACAAGAAAUAGACAAUAAUUUGGAUAAAGGCAAGGCUAAGGAAGGGAUCUCGAGUGAUAGAAAAAGAGACGAAAAGGGACAAUAAGGGUACCAUAAAAGUAAUGGAAAUUUUUAAUUGGACAAACCAUUCAACGUAAUUCCCCCCCACGGUAACUUGGUCCAUAAAUUUCAUAAAAUCUAAUCACUCCUUCCAACCUGUCCUUCCCAUUCAUCUAAAUUCCCUUUGACUCCUUAACAAAACAACCCGAUUAUUUGCUUACAUGAUCAAUCAUCAUUUAUAUUCCCUCUCUUUUUCUGUGUACAAAACACCUUAGAUUCUCUUCUAAUUCCACCCUAAGAGAAACCUGAAAUUUAUCACCUACUGCACAGCCUAAUAUCUUCCAUUGUCAUUGUAGCGUUUAGGCUUAGAGGUAGAUGACAUCCAAAUGAAAUACUUUAAAAGUACAUAAAGUACAGCACUUGGAAAUCACCAAUCUAAGAUGUGAUAAGAUCUCUACUUCACCCCUAGUAAGCACAGAAAUACUGAGAAAUUAAAAAGAAACUGUAAUAAGAACACAAGAAGAAGAAAAUAUUACGUAUUGUUGAUGAACUUACUUUGAGUCAAUCACGAAUUCAACACAUCUCAUCUAACCAUUUAACUUUGUUGGCAUUUCAAACAUGAUGAACAUUUCAAUUCAACUCUUUUGUCUCUUGAGUACUGUAAGCUUUAGACUGAUGAUUAUGUAUUCAAUCCUCUUCAAGGGAAUUCUAUGGUCUUGCAUGAAAGGGUUUGGUAGGAAUUCUUUCUUUUUCUCCAUUAAGACUUGAGUUUAGACAUACAAAAGCUCCUAUCUCAGUUGUAAAUAAUAAACACCUCUAACAGAGUCCAACUUGAGCCUAGAACCGAAAAAUAACUAAAAGGUUCUCACCUGCAAUUUGAUGUACUCCUUUUCUUUCUUCUUCAUCUCAUGUAUUUGUUGAGUUCUUACUUGCUUUGCACACAAACAGAAAACAACAUUAGUACUAAAAUUAUUACAUAGAAACUAGUAUCUAUCUCACAGCAUCCAACUACCAUAACCUGAUUGCCAAUAACCCUUCAUCUGGAGUUCAACAUUUUCCUACUGUAUUGUUGUCAAUUUGAGCUUUAAAAGCAGCCUUACCUUUGGCUUCCUGUGGAAAAGAACUUCCUUGUUCAAUGUUAAAUAGAGAGAAAUCAUAGAAUUUAGACAAGUCUCGAGAUUGUACUAUUCGUGUAACUGUUGCAAUCUCCCUAUCUUUAACUUGUACUACCGACUUUAGCCUCUCAACUUUGGUCUCCAACCUUGAUAUAUCUUAAUGUAGCCUGCCACAAGAAAAUAAAGGUGACUGAAUACAGGGAACCAUGGUUGUGUGAAGGAAUAUUAAAAAGCUUUGCAACAUUAUUAACCUGAAAGUGAACUACAUUUAUUCCAUAUCUUAAACCAAUCUCCCAUAACAAGAAAUGAACCAAACAUUAGAAACUAGUAGCUGGAUUUCAACACUACCGAAAGACAUAAUCUCACGAAGAUCACUUUUGGCAAUAAAAUCGAAUCUUUACACGCAUUCCACCAUUCUCAUCAAAUGUAUGAAUUCAAAUCUCCUCUUAAUUCCAAUUAUUUGAUAAGCGAGAAACAAAAUGAGAUCAUUAAGUAACACAAAUUCACGAAAAAUCAAACAUAAUAGAUCAUUAAAUUGAAAUGUGACGGUAGACUUGACUAAGCCUGAUCCUCUUAGCUCAGAAGACAAGGACGGGUCGUGUUAUGAGAAAUGUCAAGGUAGACUGAAAUCUCACUGUAAGUCACUAGUCAAAUAAACCAACAGUUUUAAAACAAAGCAAAACAAUAACAAAAACCCACAAAGAUGUUGUAACGACAGUAAGACAUAUUGGUUAUGAUAAACAUAUACUACUAUGAGUUAGGAAGAUCAUGGAUCCAGCCAAAAUUAUAGAUGAAUCAGUGAUAAUCAAAAGUUGAAAUCAGUGAUAUCGAAUAUUUCUUUAACCCAAUAUGUUUAAGGUUGCAUUUUGUUGUUUCUCACACACAUCUUGUGACUAUGAUCAAAGCGUUGAAAGUGCAAGAAUAUAAGUUAUAGAAUAGAUAGAUUCAAAUAUAUUAGCAAUAUUUUUGCUGGGUACAUUUCAGAUUUUGGAAGGUAAGAAAUUAUAUGGAAUGAUAAAUCAAAUAUAGUUCAGAGACAUGGCACCUUUUCCUCACGUAGCUCCACUAAAACAAAGUGGUAAAGGGGAGAAAGCUAAAAGUGGUAAAUGCCUUCUUCGCUAAAAUGUGGCAAAUGCCUUCUUCUUUCAAACAUGAAGAGAUUGAUCACAAAGUCAAGUUGAAAGCUAAAAAAACUAAAGCCUCUAAUUGGCAGAAAAUUUUGUUUCACAAAAUUAUGCUUAUGAAAAUUACUUAUGACUAAACUUCUUUGUAACAAUUGAUAAAAAUGUUCUUGAAAACUACUUUUUCUUUCCUAGUCUUUUAAACAGAAGAAACAAACAAAACUAAAAGCAAAAUUAUUAGAAAAUGUGCCUAAAUGGACAAAUAGUCAGUAGGAAGAAGAGGUGUUGCAAUAUAUUAGGUUAAAAUGUUGAACUAUGAUGCUAACUAGAAGAGAGCAGACCACCGCACCCUGAUGAAAGUCACAUGGGAUGAGACAUUGUUCUUGGUCAGAUUGUAUCUUCUUCAAAAUCUUGAAGCAAAAGCUCCAAGCUCAUCGUAGAUUGAUGGGAUUGAUUGAGAUUUACUUAUGCAUCUGUAGGCCAUUUGCUUUUGGAAAGGAAAUGGGUCGAAAACAUUGAAGGGAAAGUGAGUUAUCAUGCUCUCAUUGUUUCACAUGUGAUACAACUGGUUAGUUCGCAGUUUCGCAGUUAAAUAAUCUUAGUAGACUAAAUUGUUCAAUCAUGAGGAGUCUACACCAUAGAACCGAAACGAUAUGUCGUCAGAAUGUCAUUAUAACCGUAUGGAUUCACUAAUCUACCAAACAAUAAUGCAGGCAAUCGCUCAAAACAUCAACGAGAAGCCGCAAUUAAACCUGAUCAAUGACAUUGUGUGCAUAUUUCUAAUGACUCACAUCAUCAAUUAAAAAAGGAGAAUAAUGCCAAUAGUUUAUGAUCUAUAAUUUCUUUGACCUUCUACUGGGAACAUCUGGGAUAUCCACGUCCCUGAAAAGAAACGCAAAGUUCAGCAUUUGAGUAGGAGAAAAUGUUCAAGUUUGUAGGACUUGCUCGUGCUCACCGUGAUUGACAAUGCAACCGGUACUCUCUGACUGCAGAAACCGGUCACUCUUGCUAGAACGCUGGAAAAACUGCACGCUCAAAAUUUAUGACAACUACCAGAUACCAUUUAAAUGAUCAUAUACUGUGAACAGCGGUGCCUAAAUCAUUGAGCUAUUCCUUGAACAGUGAUCGCAUGAGCUUUUAAUGCACUAUAAGCUUUGACCAAUGAUUGCUUUCAUCGUUUUACAACCGAUUUGUAUGUAAACUCAUGCAUUGCAGCUCAGUAAAUAGUCUUUGCAUAUAAAAAUAAAAAAUCAAUCAUAAAGCAUGGAGAACUCGGUGCAGAGCAAGUGCCAUAGUUUAAGAGAGAGUAAUCCAAUCUUGACGACUCCUGACAUUACCAAGGAGUUUAGAAAAUUUACCUCCAACUCAUCAUUACUUAUCGAACCCGGCAGUAAAAAAUCUAAACUCUGAAAUAUUUAUCUCAUCAAAAAAAGCUACGAAAGAGUCAUGUAUGAAAAUCCCCCAGAAAUCGAGGUUCACAUAUAUAAAAGGAGGGGCAGAUAACGACAAUAGAACAGUAACAAUUAAUGACCUUUGAGGGAAUGAUCGGAAAGGGAUCAUUCUGAGUGGGGCACCAUCGUCGCUCUAGUGAAUGAAAGAACUUGAUGUAAGGAGGUAUAUCAAAUCUACGGUCUUUUCAGGAUUGGGUAGGUAGGUUCUUAUUUUCAUUUAUGUCCAAGUCGGCUGCCCAAUUGUCAACCUGGGGAGGAUAUCCAGCAUCCGAUCACCAAAAGGAAGCGUGGGUAUGUUCAACUUUACCUAUUCUUAUCCGCUUCGGUUAUUUUGGAUCCAUUGUGACUAGUGUAAUCUUUUGGGCAUUCAUAACAUAAAUGCCCAUAAGUUUAGCAGCAGUCGUUGCUCCUACUGUUUUGCUCAUUAACCCUGUGUGUGGAAAUAUUUGUGUGUGUUUAGUAUGAGUCGCUAUAGCAUCCUUGGUAUCAGGGCCAUCCACACUGGGGUGGUGAACACGUCUAAUGGCCUUCACCGCGACAAAUUGAGAGAUAAACGGGUAGAUGUGAACGCCGCGAGAAAAGAAAAUAUGUCGAGCUUUCAACACCGGAACAUGAUCGAUCUUACUAGAGUUGAAGAAAUCGAUGAAUCGAACGGCGGAUGAAAUGCGAGAAUAGGCCACAUUGUACACAAAGAAGAGAAGAGUUCGAGGGAACUGAACCGAUGGCUCGAUGUUCAAACUUAAAGGAAGAGUGUGAGAGUGAGUGCGAUUGCGAUGAGAACAACCAUUGCGAAGCCAAGUGCUACGGUGAACACAGACCGUAGCUAAGGGUCACAAGAAGGCUUGAAAUGUCAAUGUUCAUCGAAGGUUGAAUCCUCGAAUCCUGGGCAUACCGUGCUAAAGCAUUUCUUUCCCUUGGGCGAAAUUAAUUAACCUACUUGAAGCAGAGAAAGUCUAUAGAGUGAACCUAUUGACUUAAGGUUUCGGAUAUGGAAGAAGAAGUAGGAUUGAGAUAAUUAGGUGGAGCGCACCAUUCGAAAGAAGGUUGAAUCCUGGGAGGACUUGGAAAGUAAGGAUUGUUCGAAUUGAUUUUUUCAAUGACACGGGACACGAAGAAGCUUCAGGGGCAUUUUGCACUAUCACUCCGUAUCAAGCAAUUGUUUAAGGAUCUUUAUAGUGACAUCAUAUGCACAUAAGGAAAUUCGUUUAGCUUAAUUCAGCUCCACUGCCCGACAGUGGCAGUUAAAAUAGUACUGCCAAGGGUACGCAAUAUUAUAUUACUAGGGCUUCGAACCAGUCACUACAAGCUGAAGUGAUUAGUAGACUGUGAGACCCCCAAUCAUUACAAUACGUAUGUUAGGAUAAGGGAUUAUACUCCACCAACAUUGAUAAGGAGAGAGACCAUUCUGAGUGGGAAAUAGAAAGAAUGUGCAGGUGAGGUCCCACUGGGUAGAGAAAUUUGUAGGGUGAAGUAUAAAUAGAAUGAUAUGAGAAAUAGGGAUAGGUAUCUUUUUGGUUUAGUCUAAUCUUAAGUAAGGGAGGUCGGCCAAGCAGCCACGAUCAGGAGAGGGGUAUCCUUCUUGUGAAGGGUGCUGGUAAUGUUCUUCGUUGUUCAUUGUCAUCGAUUAGUUUUCAUUCCUUAUUGUAGCUGUAACUUUGGGCUAUAUAUAAUAAAUAAAGGAAAUUUGCACGUAUGGCUGCUGUCUAAACUGUAUAUUUUAAGCCAUAGUUGGGUAUUUUAUUAGAAGAGGGUGUUAGAAUCCUAACAUAGACAACCCUCAAACCUUAGAGGAGUGUAUCAAGGAGGCUCAACUCGUUGAAUGAUAAGAAUAUUUUAUGCCUUACAAUUAGCCAUAGGCAGAUUUCGGGGCAAAAGUGAGCUCAAAAGAAUGUGAGAGCAAUCCAUCAUUUCAUUAGGACUAUUAUUCGAAAGUAAACAAUGUAGGAAGAAUGAGCCAAAGAAAACGUUCAAGUGUUGUUCCAGUUCGAAAUAAAUAAUGUCAUUCCGGUCACUAAGUAGGUAUACCAAAAAAAUAGAUCUAAACCAGGUUAACGAGGCUAUCACUGUACACACGAGAUUUAGAGCAAAGGCUUGACAAAGAGUUGUGCUUCAGAUGUUAAUGAAAAAUGUGCAUUCAACCUCGGCCAUAAAAGCCUUUGAAGGUUUCACUAGAAUAAAAGUUAGAGUUGAUAACUUCUUGAUUUCGAUCUUUAGGAUAUUGUAGUUGCAAGUAGAGUUGAACGAGGAUCGGAUGGACUCCAUGCAGAGGUGAGGCAGAGGAAAUGAUAGAAGUUGUUAAUCUCCAGAUUGAUAUGAACUUUGACAUCUUGAGAGCUCGCUGAGGUUUGAAUCUUAAGAGCUUCAGUACAUGGGAGGUUCAAUUCUUUAUCCAACGAGAGACCCCUAUGAAAUUGAAAGGUCAUGGUCUCGAUUUAUAGAGAAAUUGGAUGGGCUUUAGGUGAACUUGGGCUCAUUUGAUUGCUACAGUUGGACUUGCGACAAAUUAAUUGUUGGGCUUGGACUUCAGUCCAUUUCAGAGUUGAGUUGGAAGAUCUGCCGAUCUAGUCAUUCGACUUGGCCAAGUACCCAAUUUUUUUGUUGGAUGUGAAUCCAGUUGGAGAUGAGUACACGUUGUGAAGGAAAGGGAAACACUGUAUAUGAGGGUAAAAUUGAUUGUGUUGAUAAGGAGUAAUUUAAUCGAUCAUAGCUGACUUCUUAGCAAUUGAAACCUUUUAGGGAAUUGUGGACGUUGGUAUGUUGGGUGAAUCGCGAAAACGAUAGGCUGGAAUAUCUGACUGGAACCAUGGAUUAGGUGCUAGUUAAUAGGCCAAUUCCCUCAUACUAUGACAUUCUGGACAAAAGUGUGAAGAAGAUGUAAUACGAAGUUUGGUCAAUUUAUAUGGUGGAUCACUUCAAGCUUCAUCUAAGGCAGAAAUGCUCGUUGAGGACCGCUAGACUGAAAAACAUGGCAGACGAAGGGAGCCAAGGAGUUCCUUUUAGAACUACAAAACUAUGAAAUCGAAAAUGGAGAUGGAUGAGUGAUCGACAGCAAAAAACCGAAGACAAAAAUGGAGAUAGAGAAAGAAUCUACUGCCAUGGUUCAAAGAUUUAACUGCAGAUACAGAUACGAUGGACUGCAGUAUUUGAAUCACCGCGAUGGAGUUUAACCUCCACAUAUCGAAGACCGAGUUGGAGAUCCGAUCGGCUAUAUUACAUCCAUGCUGGAGAUCCAAUCGACUGCGCCACAUCAACGUUCGACAAUGUAGAUGGACAUUGUACAAAAUGGAGCAAAUUGAAGAAGAAGUUGGUGAUAGAAGAUGCGUACAUGGCAGAUGGUGAUGUAGAUCGAGAUAACAGCCCUUACUCCAAGAUGCCGGUGGUUAUUAGUGCGGCACAUCAAAGAUGAUGACGACCACAUGGGGGUUGGAGAUUUUGAUGGCUGCGACUACCGCAGAGCUGCAAACCAUGGUAACAGUAUCAGAUCAAAUUCCCUAUCCCGAUAAUUGAAGAACUACUAGAUAAACUACAUGGUGGCAACUAUGAUUCAUCCAAGAUUAUGACUUUAAAAUCGAGGAUACACAUGAUGACAAAUGCAACGGAUGAAGGAGGAAGAUGGUGAUGACUGCAAUACAUGGACAUUUCGACACUCACGGAAGCGACACUACGAAGAUUCUUAUGGUUACUGCCACUUCGAAGCCUCAGACAAUGACCCCAGCAACACAUUCCAAUCUCUAAUGAAUCAGGUAUUCAAACCCUUUCUUAUGGAGAUGAUGAUUCUUGUAUUUUUUGCAGAUGGAUAUUCUUACGACUGCUACACGUCGAAGAUGCAUAUGAUAACGAUUGAGACAUGUCGAAGAUGCAUUUGGUGACAACUGCGUUUUUUCAAUACUGAAGGAUAAUGUAAUUAUUUGCAAAUCAGAGAUGAAAAUGAUGAUUAUAGCAACACCCCCAAGAUUCAGAUGAUAUUGAGGGCAACACCUAGGAUUUCUAGCCGAGGAUGUUGAAGUCUGCAUGAAGUAAAAGAAUUUGAAGCAUGAUUAAUUUUGGCCACAACACAAAAGACAUCAUCUGGCUGAAGAGGAUUUCUUUAGAAUAUAACACGUGUUAUUAUAUGAAAAUGAGUCCUCUCGGUGUAAGAUUUAUGAGAAGAGGAAUCAUCUCGGCAGCAACACAUUUAAAAGCUGAAGAUUACUUCAGAAGAAUGCAUUCAAAUGGAGAUGAGGAAGACAAACAUCAGUUCAUUUGCAGCAACCGAGAGAUUAUGCAGAUGACAACCAUAUCAGCUGCUAGCACUUGCCUGAAUUGGUCAUUGUCGUUUACUAUUGAGACUGAUGCUUCAGGAGUGGGAUUUCUUAGGAGUGGUAGCUGCUCAUCAAGGAGACAUCCUAUCGACCUUACUUCAAUCAGAAACUAUCAAGAGCCCAAUCUAAGUGCUACUGAUAUGAAAGGGAACUUGAUGCUGCCUACGUAUCGUUUUUAUCAGUGCAGAAAUGGAGGCACUACCUACUGGGAAGGAGAAUUCACUAUUAUUUCAGAUUCAGUGAUUAAGCUCUCAAAUUCUUGUGGACUAAGAGCAUCAUGCAAGGGAGGCUCUUGCGAUAAGGACCUUUACACAUUUCAGAAAUAGUUUCGAACAAAACUUCUUGGGCUUAUUGAUUUCGAGAUAUUGGUGAAUACAACCAGACUUGGCUUCAGAAUAAAGGGACCUGCUGAUGCUUCUUUCAAGGAAGGACUUCCAAACCGUGCGAAUUGAGACACAACUGACUAUCAACUCGGCAUUAUUUUCGUCAUGAAGUGAUUUGAGCUUAAUAGUUAGAAGGAAGUUGAGAUAUUGAUCACAAGUAACUCCAAGAGAUCAUAAGCAGAGGUUGAAAGGGGGUGGACCAGGGAUGUGGAAAUAUCAAUGGAUUAAUGAUAAGCUGCUGUAUGAAAGGAAGGAUAGUGUUAAUCACGACAUUCCUCCCUCAUUCCUAGGUUGUUGCACAACCUUCCCAUGACUCCAUACUAGGAGGUCAUUCCGAUUUCUUGAGACGAUCUUAGACAAAAGUGAUUAGUGGAGAAUUGUUUUGGAUAGGGAAUGAAAGCAGAUGAUGAAGAAGUGACGUGGAAGAAUGUGACAUAUGCCAACAAAACAAAUUCGAAGACUACCAAUACCAGCCAGAGUUGACAACCCAUUCCCAUUCCCGAGAGGAUAUUGGAAGAUUAUCGACAAUGGAUGUCUUAUGAGGACCUCAUCUUUUCCUUAGAUUGGCUUAGACUUAUACAUGUAAUUAUGGUGAACCAUUGUUUCCUGACCAGCUUCCUGUACCAUUGGGUCUGAUGCAAAUAACACUUCGAGUUUGACGAAAACCGAAGGUCUACACGAUUUACGAGUUUUGACUGUCCAUUUUUCGCAAUCAUUUGCAAUAGGCUGUUCUUGGAUUUGAUUUUCUCUUUGUCUCGAUCGUGGACUACAAUCGAACGUGUAGAGCUUCAAUAUGGCCGACACUAAACAAAGUUUUGGUAGUACUCACAACGUUAUGUCCCUUGCGGAACACUCUAAGUCAUCACAAUUACAACAUGAUUAGUCUGAGCUAAUGGAUCCAUAUCUAUUACGAUUGGCGUUUCAGGAGCCAAUUUUAUAUUUAGUUUGAGAAGUACUGAUAUGGAUGAUCAUAUGAUUGAAGAAUCCCCCAAAAGAUGCAAAGCAGAAGUAAGGAUCAUCGGCUUUCUGUGAUUGAUUCGCCCGUUUGUAUUCUGUCAGAUCAAGAAGUUGCUAAUCUGAGAGUGAGAUUAAUUGGAUUGGUUGAUCACUGUGAGGAUCUGGUUAAAGAACUUUCUGGAAUUUCUUUAAGGGAUUUUCUAUACCUCUAGGUAAAGAGCAAGUGCAUAGAAUGUUUGAAGUCUUGUAGUGCAAGAUUUUUUCGGGGUUGCAGGAACAACGAAAGACUGAGUUCUGUCACCAGCUGUAAUCUUUAUAGCGGCAUUAAGAAGAUCAUUGCCGAGCUUGGCUUGUUGAAUUAAAAAACCUUUUAGUCCUCUACGAGUGUUACUAAGUUCCAUAUCAAGUUCAACGAGUAGCAAAAUCGGCAAAUGUGUAUGAUUUUAUCCCCUGCAAAAUAUAGAGCUCUUACCAAUGAAUGCCUUGGGUGCACAUCUCGGCUAAAGACAUUUCUAUGAGCUUCUCUCUGCACUCCAGGCUUAGAGCUCUCCAUCAUUUAUGUAGUUGAUGCCUGGCUCACUCGAGUCCUAUUCGCUAUUUGUCAAAGCCAUCAUGCCGACGAUACGCUGUGUGCUGUAAAUUCGCUUCAGAAAGUCCCAGUCAAGUUGCUCCCAACUAUCAAUGGAUUCAUGUUCAAGAACAAUGAACCCUUCGAAGGCGUUACCUUUCAGAGUUCGAAUAGUACUGAUUCAUCGACAAAUCUCAGAGCCUAGUAGGAGAUUCACAUGUUUCAGUGAACUGAGCAACGUGUUGUCUUGGGUAAGCCAGGCCAUCAAACUGUUGAAACGUGAUUGGUCGGUAUCAAUUCGGCAUUAUAUAAGAAUAGUCAACGGUCUCAACAUGCUCAGAUAGCCUCCACAUGUGAUAUACCAGAGGCGUCAGUUACUAUUUCGGCAGAUGAGUUUGCUAAGUUUCAGAAUUACCAAGAGUCAUUACAAGCGUCAUCUUCCUCUACUCCGAUUGCAUCCACUGUUGCCCCAGGUAAUAUAAAGUAUCUUCUUACAUCAUCUACCAAAUGGGUCAUAGACUCUGGUGCCACAGCUCAUAUGACAGGUAAUUCUCACCUAUUUUCUAGACCGUUGUCCCCUGCCCCUUUUCCAUCGGUUACAUUGGCCGAUGGCUCCACAUCUUCUGUUCUUGGCUCUGGCACUAUUCACCUUACCCCAUCAUUUUCUCUCUCUUCUGUGUUACAUUUGCCUAACUUAUCCUUUAAUUUAAUUUCUACUAGUCAACUUACUCAUGACCUAAAUUGUGUUGUCAUGUUCUUUUCUGGUUAUUGCUUGUUUCAGGAUCGUGUGACGAAGAAGAUUAUUGGUAGAGGAUAUGAGUCAGGAGGCCUUUAUCUCUUUGAUCAUCAAGUAUCGCAAGCUGUGGCGUGUCCUGUCGUUCCCUCUCCUUUUGAAGUCCAUUGUCGUUUAGGUCAUCCAUCUUUGUUCGUGUUGAAGAAACUUUAUCCAGAAUUUAGGUCUUUGUCCUCUUUAAAUUGUGAUUCGUGUCAAUUUGCGAAAUUUCAUCGUCUUAGUUCGAGUCCUCGAGUCGAUAAACGAGCAAUUGCUCCAUUUGAGUUACUUCAUUCUGAUAUUUGGGGUCCGUGUCCAGUUGCAUCUCAAACGGGCUUUCGUUAUUUUGUUACUUUUGUUGACGAUCAUUCUCGUCUAACUUGGUUAUAUUUAAUGUCUCUACAGCUUGUUUUUUGAUUAAUAGAAUGCCUUCCUCUGUUCUUAAUGGUGAGAUUCCCUAUCGUGUUCUUUUUCCUACCAAGCAUUUGUUUCCUAUUGCUCCUAAGAUAUUUGGUUGUGUCUGUUUUGUUCGUGACGUUCGUCCUCAUCAUACUAAGUUAGAUCCCAAAUCCUUGAAGUGUAUCUUCUUGGGUUAUUCACGUGUUCAAAAGGGUUAUCGUUGUCAUUGUCCUACCCUUAAAAGGUAUCUGGUUUCGCCUGAUGUUGUCUUUUUUGAAGAUACACCCUUUACUUCAUCACCAUCGAGUUUGUGUCAGGGGGAGGAUGACAAUCUUUUUAUAUAUGAGGUUACCUCUCCCACACCAUCCUUGUCUACUGAUGUGCCUCCUUCCCGCCCGUUGAUUUCUCAAGUCUACUCCCGACGACCUCCACCACAACCUUCAGACUCAUGUCCUCCAUCAAUGCUUCCUUCAUCAUGUGAUCCAGCGCCAAGUGAUGAUCUUCCCAUUGCUCUUCGCAAAGGUAAACGCAAGUGUACUUACCUUGUUUCUUCCUUUAUUUCCUAUCACCAGUUAUCUCCCUCCACAUAUGCGUUUAUUACGUCUCUUGAGUCCACAUCUAUUCCUAACUCUGUUCAUGAAGCUUUGUCUCAUCCUCGCUGGCAAAAUGCAAUGAUUGAGGAGAUGCCAAAUCAGCAACUUGUUAAAGAAGGAGAAUUAUGUAAAGAUCCUGAGAGACAUAGGAGAUUAGUUGGGAAGUUGAACUACUUAACAGUGACUCGACCAGACAUUGCAUAUUCUGUAAGUGUUGUAAGUCAAUUCAUGUCUUCCCCUACAGUGGAUCAUUGGGCUGCAGUAGAGCAGAUUUUGUGUUAUCUAAAAGCUGCUCCUGGACGUGGGAUCCUAUACAAAGAUCAUGGACAUACGAGAGUUGAAUGUUUUUCUGAUGCUGAUUUGGCGGGGUCUCGUGAGGAUAGGAGAUCGACUUCUGGAUAUUGUGUUUUUGUAGGUGGAAACUUAGUUUCAUGGAAGAGUAAGAAACAAAAUGUUGUUUCUCGUUCGAGUGCUGAGUCAGAAUAUAGAGCUAUGGCACAAUCUGUGUGUGAAAUAGUAUGGAUUCACCAACUAUUAUCUGAGAUAGGCUUCAGUAUUACCGUGCCAGCUAAAUUAUGGUGUGAUAAUCAAGCUGCACUUCAUAUUGCAUCUAAUCCAGUAUUUCAUGAACGAACUAAACAUAUUGAGGUGGAUUGUCACUUCAUUCGUGAGAAAAUCCAAGAUGGGUUGGUGUCCACAGGAUAUGUGAAGACCGGAGAACAAUUGGGAGAUAUUCUAACUAAAGCUUUAAAUGGAACAAGGAUAAGCUAUCUGUGCAACAAGCUGGGCAUGAUCGACAUAUUUGCUCCAGCUUGAGGGGGAGUGUUAUGAUAUAUAUAUAUAUACAUAUGUCCUUUAUUGUAAUUUUACAUAGUCUCUAGGGUUGUUAAAUUUGGUAGUAUGGGGUUCCAUCUCAAAACCAAUUGGCAAUGAGAGGAGUAGCCCAUCUACCUUAUAUGGAGUACGAGUCCCCUUGGUUUUUCCAAUGUGGGACUCUCAACUUCUCCAACAGAUUUUAUAGAAGGACUACCCUUAGUUGGAGAUAUAAUGUAAUUAUGGUGGUAGUUGACCUUUUAAGUAAGUACUCCUACUUCCUAACUCUUAAACACCCAAAACAAGUGUCAGGAGACCUAUCUAAGGUGCUUCUGUAAUGAACAGCCGAGAAAAUGGGACAAGUCGAUUCCUUGGGCAAAGUUGUGGUACAACACCACCUUCCAUACGUCUACCAAAGUAACUCCUUUUCAAACUGUUUAUGGCAGACCCCCCCCCCCCCCCCCCCCCCGCCAUUAUUAUCGUAUGGGAUGAAUAAAUCUCCAAAUAAUGAGUUAGAAGCCAUGUUAAAAGAAAGAGACUUAGCAAUCAAUGCCUUGAACGAAAAUCUUUGUGCAGUCCAAAACCGAAUGAAAAAAAAUGGCAGAUCGGAAUCGGAGAGAAUUGAAGUUCAAGGUAGGGGAUGAAGUCUAUUUGAAACUAAGACCCUAUAGACAACGCUCAUUGGCUAGAAAGAAGUGUGAGAAACUAGCGCCAAAAUUUUAUGGGUCGUACAAGAUUACAGAGGAGAUUGGAGUUUUCCCUUCGAAGUUACCAGCAGAAGCUGUCAUUCACAAUGUGUUCCACAUUUCUCAACUGAAACUGAAACUCAGAAAACAUGUAGUCCAACGUCAACAACCUAUCCUAACUGAGGACUUCGAAUUGCAGUUGUGGCCAAAAACUGUGUUGGGAGUAUGCUGGAAUAAAGAGCUGAGUGGAAAUGAAUGACUAAUUAAAUGGAAAAAUCUACCAGAUAGAGAAGCCACGUGGGAAUCAGUCUAUCUGCUGAAUCAACAGUUUUCUAAUUUUCACCUUGAGGGCAUGGUAAACUUGGAACCAAGGGGUAUUGUAAGACCUCAAUCGUUCACACAUAUAAAAAGAGGAGCAGAAAGGUAAAUGAACAAACAAUUAAUGAUGAGAGAAUGUGUAAGGAUUCUACUUGAAUCACACAAUUGUUUGUUCAUUUACCUUUCUGCCCCUCCUUUUAUAUGUGUGAAUGAUUGGGGUCUUACAAUACCCCUAGGUUCUAACUCACCUUGUCCUCAAGGUGGAAGCUAGGGAACUGCUGAUUCAGUAGAUAUACUGAUUCCCAUGUUGCCUCACUAUCCGGUAGAUUCUUCCAUUUGACCAGCCAUUCAUUUCCACACGUCUCCUUGUUCCAUCAUACUCCCAACACAGUUUCCGGCCAUAAUUGUAAUUUGAAGUCCUCGGUUAAAUAUAGGCGGUUACUGUUGAACGACAUGUUGUUUUCCCAACUUCAGUUUCAAUUGGGAAAUGUGGAAAACAUUGUGAAUUACAGCUUCUGGUGGUAGUUUCAAACGAUACGUGACCUCCCCUAUCUCCUCAAUAAUCUCAUACAGCCCAUAAAAUUUCGAAGCUAGCUUCUCACAUUUCUUUUAAAUAAACUUCAUCACCAACUUUGAACUUGAGUUAUCUGCGAUUCUGAUCUACCAUUUUUUUCAUUCUGUUUUGGGCUGUACAGAGGUUUUCUUUCAAGGCAUUGAUUGCUAAAUCUCUUUCUUUUAACAUGGCUUCUACCUCAUUAUUUGAAGAUUUUUCAUCCCAUAAGAUAACAAUGGAGGGGAGGUGGAGGGUAUUAAUAUAAUUAGAUUAUUCUUAGGAGAUUAUUCUGGAGAUAUUAUUCUGGAGAUAUUAUUUGAUAUUAUUUCCUUAAGUGUAUUUCUCUAUGGUUAUAUAUAGGCUUGUAUCUCUAUUAAAUAAUCAAUGAAAGAUAGAUUAAUUCCAUAAAAUCAACAUGGUAUCAGAGCAAUAGGGUUUUAGUCUCCUUGUAUUCUAGCCGUCACAUUCCCGCUCGUCUGCCUCCGUUGAUUCGUCGACGGAGGCAGAGCCAUACCCAUCAUCAAUCAACACAUCAUGUCUCCAAGUAAUUCGCUCUGCCUCCUAGAUCAAAAUCUGCAUCUCUGAUUCUGCCGCCGCCGCCACUACUCCUUCCGCCAUCACUGCUCCUUCCAUCCACACAGUUCGUCGCACUCUCGACCCAUAUCCGCUCUCCAUUCGUCCUCACUUAGAUCUACUUGUGCGCACAUUGCAAGCACCAAUUUGUUCGUGCAUCUCUGUUCGUGUCUUCGACUUCCAGAUCCGUGUUUUAUUUCAUCUUUCGCCUUCGAAUCAUACUGUUCCAGAUCAGACCGACCUGCCGCCGCCGCCCUUUACUCGUACCAAACAAUCUCUUUCGAUUGAAGACUCCCGAUCCUGAAGAGGGUGAAUCUUUGUUCAGAUCCAUGAUCCACCGCUCCGCUCCACUCACAGCCGACGACGCACAGGUUCGGCUCUUGUCCGCUCUCCAUUUGUGAAGCUCGCCGUCAUGAAACGCAUCUUCUCUUUUUGCGAAGAACGCCGCAAAGCUCUCUAUCUACUCAACCUCUCAGCUCUCUUCAGUUUUCGUUCUGUUCACCCAGAUUUCCUGUUCAGUUUGAUUCUGACUUGCUUUAGUUUAGUUCGUUCAGUUCCAUUCUGAUGACGGAACGCUCCUGCCCAAUUCAGACCACGUUUUCAUCCUGAUUUGGUUCUACUUUGCUUCAGUUUUGCUCUUUCAUUUUGCCCCCGGAGUUCUUGUUUCGUUCUUCCUAGGUUCUGUUAUAGAUCUCUAUACGAGGAUCUAUGUUUCUAUCCCAGAAGUUCUUCGUUUCGCUCUUCGUGGGUUUGUUUUAGCCUAGAAGUUCUUUGUGUGUUUGUUCUUCGGGUUUUUAUUCUAUUCUAGAUAUAUUGUUUCUUUUCUUAGUUCUUAGCAAACUCAAGUUUGUGAUUUCAACCUUGAGUUUGAGGGAGGGUAUUAAUAUAAUUAGAUUAUUCUUAGGAGAUUAUUCUGGAGAUAUUAUUCUGAAGAUAUUAUUUGAUAUUAUUUCUUUAAGUGUAUUUCUCUAUGGUUAUAUAUAGGCUUGUAUCUCUAUUAAAUAAUCAAUGAAAGACAGAUUAAUUCCAUAAAAUCAACAGAGGGGAGGUCUGCCAUAAACAGUUUGGUAAGGAGUUGUUUUGGUGGACGCAUGGAAAGUGAUAUUAUACCAUAACUCUGCCCAAGGAAUUAGUUUAUCCCAUUUUCUUGCAUGCUCAUUGCAUAAACAUCUUAGAUAGGUCUCUAGGCACCUAUUUACUCUCUCGGUUUGUCCAUCAGUUUGCGGGUGACAUGUUGUGCUUCUUUUCAAAAGUGUGUCCAUGGUGGUGAAUAACUCUUUCCAGAAAUUGCUAAGAAAGAUCUUAACCCGAUCGGUAAUAAUGGACUUGGGAAUACCAUGUUUGCUGAUGGACUUGGGAAUACCAUGUUUGCUGACCACUCUUUCCAGAAAAAUGGAAGCCCAUUGCUUCGCUGUGUACGAGUGUUUAAGAGUUAAGAAGUAGGAAUACUUACUUAAACGGUCAACUACUACCAUAAUUACAUUACAUCCCUCGCUAAGGGUAGUCCCUCUAUGAAAUCCAUCCAAUCUUCCAAUAUCUUUUCAAGAAUGGGAAUGGGUUGUAGCACUCUGGUAGGAUUGGUAGCUUCGAAUUUGUUACGUUGGCAUAUGUCACACUCUUCCACAUAUUUCUUCACAUCUACCUUCAUUCUCUUCCAAAAUAGUUCUCCACUAAUCCUUUUGUAAGUUCUCAAGAAUCUGGAGUGUCCUCCUAGUAUGGAAUCAUGGAACGUGUGUAGUAGCCAAGGAAUGAGAGAGGAGUGUCGUGAUAGCACUACCCUUCAUUUAUAUAACAGCUCCUCAUUACUCCACUAGUACUUUCCUCCUUGGUUCACCCCUUUUUUAGCUCUACUAUAAUUAUCUGGAGUUCUUGAUCGUUCUCAACUUCCUUCUCUAUAAGUUCUACGUCAACAAUGCUCGUUGUCGUCAUUGUGUUCAACUCCACAGUUUGAUCUUUCCUUAAGAGUGCAUCAGCGGCUUUAUUCUGCAAACCCGGUUAGUAUAAUAUCUCGAAAUCAUACCUCAAGAGUUUAGUUAACCAUUUCUAGAAUGAGGUUGAACUUCCCUUUGUUCCAACCAGAAUUUCAGAGCUUUCUGAUCUAAAAUAAUAGUGAAUUUCCUCACCAGUAGGUAGUGCCUCCAUUUCUGCACUGAGAGAACAACUGCCAUGAGUUCCCGUUCAUAUAUGGACUUAACUUGAGCUCUUGAGGAAAGAGCUCAAGUUUCUGACUGAAGAAUGUUAUAGGGUGUCCUUGUGACAACAGCGCUCCUAAGCCUACUCCUGAAGUAUCAGUCUCAAUUGUAAAUGGAUGUGACCAAUCAGGCAGUGCUAACACUGGUAUGGUCAUCAUUGCUAAUUUCAGUUGUUCAAAAGUUGCUAUGGCUUCCUCAUUCCACUUGAACGCGUUCUUCUGAAUUAACUUAGUUAAGGGCGCGGCAAUCUCCCCAUAACUCUUCACAAACCUUCGAUAAUAUCCGGUCAGCCCUAGAAAUCCCCUCAGCCCAGUUAUGUCCUUCGGUUGUGGCCAAUUAAUCAUGCUUCGAGUCUUUUCCUCAUCAGCUUCGACUCCUCUACUGGAAAUCAUGUGCCUCAAAUACUGAACUUGGGAGUGGGCUAUUACACAUUUGUUUCUAUUUGCAAAUAGUUGAUCAUCCCUCAAUAUGGCAAAUACCAUCCCCAUAUGUUUCAUAUGCUCGUCUAUAUUAACACUAUAAACUAAAAUAUCAUUAAAAAAAGACAAGAACACAUCUUCUGAGGAAAGGUUUGAAUAUUUGGUUCAUCAAAGAUUGGAAGGUGGCCGGAGCAUUAGUGAGACCAAAAGGCAUCACUAAGAAUUCGUAGUGCCCUUCGUGCGUGCGAAAAGUUGUCUUCUCCACAUCUUCCCCCUUCAUUCUUAUCUGAUGAUAUCCAGAUUUAAGAUCUAAUUUAGAGAAUAAUGUCGCCCCAUGUAGUUCAUCUAGGAGUUCUUCAAUCACCGAAAUGGGGAAUUUGUCGGCCACGGUUACUUGAUUCAGUUUACGGUAGUCUACAUAGAAUCUCCAUCCAUAUCCUUCUUCUUCACCAAUAGUACUGGGCUAGAGUAAGGGCUGUGACUUGGCCGAAUCACCCCUGCUUGUAGCAUUUCUAUCACCAGUUUUUCAAUCUCUUCUUUUUGUACAUGUCCAUACUUAUAUGGUCGAACAUUGAUUGGUCUGUGAUCGGGUAAAGUCAAAAUGCAGUGGUCUACGGUUCUCUUGGGAGGUAAACCUAUUGGUAGCCUAAAUAUGUACGUGUAUUGAUUGAGUAAUUGUUGAACCAUGGGUAAUCCUUCAUCAUCUCCUUUUAACUCACUUUCUGUUUCAUAUUCCUCUUCCCAUUCAACUUCAUAAUUUUGCAAUUCUAAAAGAAAUCAUCGGUCGCCUGAUUGCCAUGUUUUUUCUAUGGUCCUCAACGAACAUUCUGACUUGAUGAGGGAAGGGUCCCCUCAGUGUUAUUCUUCUUCCUUUUUUCCAAAAUGUCAUGGUUAGGGAUGGUCAAUGCACCUUCAUGGUUCCUGUCGAAUCAAGUCAUUGCAUCCCUAAAAGUCUACAUUUCCCAGUUCCACCGCAAGAAGUCAGCUAUGACUGUUAACUCCUUCAAUUUCACUUUUACCCUCUUACAUAUUCCUUUUCCUUCGCAACGGGUGCUGUCUUCAAUGGUUACUCCAAAUUGGGUUCUUGGAUCAAUGCCCAACCGCAGUUCUUCCACCAACACUUGACUGAUAAAAUUAUUGGUCGCACUGCUAUCAAUAAGGAGUAUUACCUCUCUUCCAUUCAUUUGUCCUUUCAAUUUCAUAGUUCCUUUGGACGUAACUACCGUGAUCACCCUUAAUUCAAUCUCAGCAAUCUCAUUCAAAUCUAAUUGAUUCGGUUCUAUCACUUCCUCUACCUCAUCCUCUGUGGUCGCUUCCUUUUCGUUACUCUCUUCCUCAUUCAAUAUAAGUAGCAUCAACUCUCUUUUUUCUCUGACCUUGCAUUUAUGGCCGAGUGAAUAUUUUUCAUUACACCUGAAACACAGCCCUUUAUCAAGCUUCGCUGUGUCUGAAAGCCUAUUUACUGGAGGAUCAUUUUUUUGGUAACCCCUUUUACCGGAAUGGUUAUCUGUUUCAUGGCAAACUCUGCCGUCUUUUGUUCAACCUUCUCAUUCUUACCUUGAAUCUUGCCUGUGUUCUCACUUCUUUUGGGCUCAAUCCUACUCAAUUCAUCCAUAGCCAGUUGUAAGGCUAGAUUUCUAUCAUUCACCAGUUGAGCUUCCUUCAUACACUCCUCUAAAGUUCGAGGGUGUCUACUAAUCACUUAUGCUUGUAAUGCGGCUCGAGACCCGUCAAAACGCGUCCUGUAGUACACUUUCGGCCAUGUCAGGGAGUGGAGCUGAAUAUGUAACGAACUUCUUAACAAAAUCGCUAUAGGAUCCUUCUUGCUUGAUACGGAUCAGUCUUGCCCCUAAGCUAUGUUGUUCGGUGUCAUUGAAAAAAUCAAACAUCCUUCCUUUCAAGUCCUCCCAUGAUUCCACCCUCUUUCGGUGGUGGCUCCACCUAUACCAAUCUACUUCCUCUUGUCCAAAACUCACAACUGCUACCUUGACCUUCUUCGCUUCAAGUAAGUUAUUAAUCUCAAAGAAGUGUUCCGCCCGGUAAGCCUAGGAUUCGGGAUUCACCCUUGUAAACAUUGGCAUUUACAGCUUCUUGUAUUUACUUCGGUCCACGUUACCUCCACUAUUCUCUGCAGUCGUCUCUGUAUCCUCGAGCUUCUCUUUAAGUUUCAACAUCGGACCUUCAGCAGUCCUAGCCUCUUCUCUUCUUUUGUAACUGUGGUUUUCUCGCAGUUCAUCAGCCAUUCGAUCCAUCAACUUCUUCAUCUCCAGCAUCAUCUCCUUUAAACCCAUAAUUUCUUUUUCAGUCCCAUCUACCCGUUCCUCUAUUUGUUGCUGAGCAAUGAGGCGCAUGACCACCCCCAGUGUGGUGGCUCUAAUACCAAAUGUAAGGAUUCUACUUGACUCACACAAAUAUUACACCCUCACAAUGGCAAAACAGAGGCAACACUCAGUAAUCUUUAUUUAUAUAUAGGCUAAAACAGUUACACUAGUCACAAUAUCCAAAACAGUAAAGAACAUACCCAACUUCCUUUUGGGAUAGCUAAAUACCCUCUCCAGGCUAUGGCAGCCGCCUUGACAAAGGAUAAAAUAAAACCUACCUACCCAAUCCCUAAAAGACCUAUUUAUAUACCUCAUCUCAUCAUUCUUUCAUUUAUGUGCCUGGCCCCACUCGCACAAUCCCUUUCUAUCAUUCCGUCGUCAUUAAUUGUUUGUUCAUUUACCUUUCUGCCCCUCCUUUUAUAUGUGUGAAUGAUUGGGGUCUUACAGAAUGAUGGAAAGGGAUCGUGCGAGUGGGGCCCAUGCAUAGGAAUGAAAGAUUGAUGUAAGGAGGUAUAUAAAUAGAUCUUUCGAGAUUGGGUAGGUAGGUUUUAUUUUCUUUAUGUCAAGUCAACUGCCAUAGCCUGGGAGGAUAUUCAGUUAUCACAAAAGGAAGCUAGGUAUGUUCUUUACUGUUUAUCUUGUUAUUUUGGAUAUUGUGACUAGUGUAAUCUUUUGGCUUAUACAUAAAUAAAGUUUAGCAGAGUGUUGUCUCUGUUUUGCCAUUUUGUGUGUGGAAAUAUUUGUGUGUUUAGUAGAGUCGUUACAGAGUCAUGUAACAAAUUAUGAUUACACAGGGAUAGGUGAUGGCUAAGAUGCAUAUAAGGAUUUUCCUUUCAAGAAUAUCGAGGAAAGGAAUUCCAUAAGAACAAUAUAAUUUAAAGGUAUCAUUCCAAGCGUCUAAUUUAGGCUCUAAUCUAGCAGACUGACUAAGUUAUAAAUUAAAAGCGGUAAAGAGUUACGUGGAAACCUAAGUACUAGGAGAAAACCACAACCUAACUUUCUUAUUAUUAUCUCAUAUGAACAAAAGAUACAAAGGAGAAAAAAAAAAUAAACAAGUUUAAGAUAAAAAAGAAGAGAAUAUUAGGGUUAAUCUUUCCUUGGGCUUAAAGCCCAUUAAUUCUAACAUUAUAUAUCUAGUAUCAGGAAGACAGCGUACCUAUAACUUCUUCAACUUGAACAGGAAUAAAGUGGGCCUGUAAGAGGUUGAGAUGCAUACAUGCAAAUCAGUUACAGCUGAGAGUGACUAAAGAGGCAAUUGUUUUGUGAAGAAUAAUAAUGUUUACACUGUUAGGCUUCUUCAAGCAAUCAAAUCUUCUGCCAGCUUCUGAGAAUCUCAACCAACCCAUCACCAACCUAUAAAAAAGUGACUAUGUCAAGAUUCAGUUCUUAAAUUUCUUCCUCAAUGAAAAUGUCAAGAUUCAGUUCCUAAUUUUCUUCGACAAGGAAAACAGAUUGCAGCACUAAGAGGAUAUUUAACAGAAUCUAAUGGUAUAGAAAACCCUGACGUGGGUAUCAACCCACAAGGAAAACAGCUUCUGAGAAUAUGUUUUCCUCGAUACUUACCCAUUACCAACAGAAACCUGAGAAAAUACAAGUUUAAAUGUCAGAAACAGACAUAAACUAUAUGAUUAAAAGAAGAAUGCAAUUGAUCGGCAAGAGUAUCUUCCUAAUUCAACACCUAAUAGUGAUGCAAGACAACAAGAAACGAUUGUGCAUUUAUUUUAUCAAAGAACAGGCUUUUGUGGCACGCAGCCAACCCUGAAUACUAUACUGAGAUUGGAUCCCACAUGAACCAAUAUAAUCAUGGAGGAAAAGAAGAUAUGUAAAUUGGAGCCAAAGUAAAAUGAAGUGCAGCACCAACCACAUUCAGAUUAUGCCGGCUACAUUGCAAAAGAAUGCAGAUGUCGUUGAUUGCCCGGUCAACAACUGACUGAUCUGAAAAAUAUUCAUCAUUAUAUGAGGAAGUCAAUGUCAUUAAGCUCUGGUGUACAAUAACCAAGCAAAACAAGGAAAGGUUCAGAAAAUCUCCUGCCACGAACUUGAUGAAAUCAUAAAUUUGAAGGAUAUGUUGAAAUUCAAAUUUUCUGAACAGGCAUGCAAAUUAAUUGUUGUAAGAUGUUGCAUCUUAGAACAUAAUUGCGGGUUUGAUUACCUGUAAAUAUAGAGGGAUGCAUAUAAUAUAUAUCUCUCUUUGAGCUAUGUCUAUUUUCUCCCAGAAGCUGCUGAAUUAUGAGUAGAACUCUAAGCAAGACAUCUGAUAGAACAAAAUAAUAUCAAAUACAAGUGUACUCUAUAGUCUGUACAGAUUAUGAUUUUGUAGUAUCAUUCAUCGGAAUAACUAAUUCACCUAGUCUACGGACGUGGCUUUCCCUUUGAAGUGUUAGAACAUCCUUCCCUUCAGAUAAAUUGAACCUACAACAACUGCAUAAAAAAUUAGCGAAAAAUCAUCUAAACGUCUCUUUUGGUACAAAUAUCGUUUUCAAAACACAAGUCCAAUUUCAAGAUAGUGUCAUCUUCACAUUCAAGAACUAUAACUUUCUUGAAAAAUAAAAAUAUUAUGUCUAAAAACUAAAGAAUGACUGAAAACUAGGUCAUAAACAUAAAAUGCAUUUGAGUUAAGAAUUGAGAUUGAGCAGUGACUUUUGAAAAUGACAAAUCAUAGCUAAACUAUGCAACUCUGCUUCAAGUUCUAGAGAUAUAUUCGCAUCUGAAGUAACACUGAUUUUCUGCUGGUAUUUUGUGAGCGACUACUGAUUUGGCCUUCGACACGAUCCAAUAGACCCGGUAGUAGAUAAAUAAUCGAAAACUAUAGAAAUUUUUCGCACGAAUAGGGAAAUGAAUAUUCGUAGUCUAGUAAAGCACUUAAUAACAUUGUAGAUCAUGAACUUUAUUUGGUUACCAAUUCGAAGAUUCAAAAGAUUGGAAGCAAAAUAUUCUAUACAGAAAAUUACGAACCAGUUUUCAAGGGAAUUGGAGCAGUAACUUUUGAAUCGAUCGAUGGCGAUCAUCCUGGAGCUUCCAUUGCUCAGUUCGACGAUCAUAGAUCUCGUUAGCUCUGCAAAAGAUUGUAUUGGAAAACGGAAAGAAAAUAGCAACGACGAAACAGAAAUCAACUGGAAUGAAUAUGAGAAUCAGAAAAAUCAAUGGAAUUGCGACCUGUGAUUUUUCUCAUUACUUCAAUUCUCUCCAAGCUUCCUCGGUUUCCCUCCAUUUUUCUUCGAUGCGAUUGGUUUUGAAGUGGCCUGUGGGUGUACGCAUUAGUUUAGGGGGAAAAGAGUGAAAAAACUUGGGGAAUGGUCAAAAAUAGGCCAAACGUAGGCCAAAAAUGGGGUAAAAAAAGAGUUUUAGAAUUGGUAUUAAAAAAAGUUGAGAUUUAUGAUAAAUUUGGGGUGAAAUGACGAAAAUAUCCUUAUUUAAUUUCUCAUUUCCUCUUUUCUUCAACCUAAAAACAGAACAACGCUAAAAAAACGUAAACUUGAACCUCCCGCUUUUGAACUCAUUCGCUUAUACAGUUCCUUCAACUUGGUGCCUCUAGUGAACGUCUCUUCUCUUCCAUCCAUUUCUUCUCCACUUCCAUCCAUUUCUUCUCCACGACUCUCCACUCUUUUCUGAUUUCAAAUUUUUUACCGAACCUCUCCAUUUCUUCUCCACGGGUCUCUGUUUUAGUUUCGACUUCAACUCUGGUGAACGCUUCUCCACUCCUUUCCGAUUUCAGCUUUGUUUUCACCGGACCUCUCCAUUUCUUCCCCACUCCUCUCCGUUGGCAGUGUCGUAUCCAUCAUCUUUGAAGUCAAGUGAGUAAUAAAAUCUGAGUUUUUUUUUAUAAACCAUUUUUUUUAAGUUGUCUGUUGAAAUAUGAGUUUUUUGUUGGGCACAUUUUAGAUAUAUCAUUAAAUUUGUAGAGAAGAAAUGCAUAUGUCGUACAGGCACACACACAUAGAGAGUCGUAGGAACAUGAAUUCCGUUUAGAAUGCAUGUUUAACUAGUUUACAGAGCUUUAAUGGUUUAGGGUUAACAAUUUUAUUAGACUUGGCAAGUAAUAACCUUGAAUUUUUUAUCUCGCACCUACCAAAAUUUGAGUAAAAGUUUCAAGAGGAGAGUGCUACCCUUCCUAAACCGUUUAGAAUGCAUGUUUAGCUAGUUUACUGGGCUUUUAAGAGUUUAGGGUUAGCAAUUUUAUUAGACUUAGCAAGUAAUAGCCUUGAAUUUUUUAUCUCGCGCCUAUCUCACACCUACCAAAAUUUUAGUAGAAGUUUCAAGAUGAGAGUGCUACCCUUCCUAAACCGUUUAGAAUGCAUGUUUAGCUAGUUUACUGGGCUUUAAGAGUUUUAGCUAGUUUAUUGGGCUUUAAGAGUUUAGGGUUAGCAAUUUUAUUAGACUUAACAAGUAAUAGCCUUGAAUUUUUUAUCUCGCACCUACCAAAAUUUGAGUAGAAGUUUCAAGAUGAGAGUGUAUCCAUAUUUAAUAAGUCUCUUAUGCAAUUAUAUUUGAUUUGUUUAUUUUUUAUGCAGGCUUCAGUAUGACUUCGACAUCAACUGACGGUCUCAUGUAUAAGAUUGACCAUUCUCAUCAUUUUCAUGCUAUAGUAAGCAGUUUACAUCAUUUAGAAAAUAGUACGCGUAAUAUAAAGGCAAAAUUGAAACCGGAUCGAUUAACAUUUGAUAUUUGUCUUAUUGUCUUAUUGUAUUUCGGUCUAACAUAAAUACAUAUACAUGCAUGUGGACUUUUUUUCUUUCCAGCAAUUAUUAGUUGCGAAGUGGCAUGAAUACCAAUAAUGUAUUAAAGAGAAUCGACCAUUUCACUGGAAGGAGGAGUAUCGAUUGGUUGACUAUGUUGUCGGAUCAAAAGAAGACUUUCAAGAUCCUUGGGCGAAUGUUGAUUACAUUUACUCUUCAUUCAAUAUCCAUGGUAAUCAUUGGAUUCUAUUAUGCUUUGGACUUGGUCAGUUGUCAAGUUAAGCUUAUUUCUAUGAUGAAAGAUGCUUUUAUCCCCUCCCCAAAGAAUAUCAUUACUAUUUAUGUUUUAUUUCUGCUAACUAAUUCUUGCAUAGCAUCUGGUUUGAUAAUUAAAGUAAAGUUUCUGACAUGGAGGUUUUCAAGUUGUAAUAUGUAUUUAUGUUUUAGGUAGAUUCCCAAACUUUGAAGAAACGCUGCAGUACUAAGGUAAUUGAACGUUGUAAGGCAGAGCAUUGGGCUUACCAGAGCCAAGGUAUCUUCUUCGGUAACAAGUAAGGAUAGUCCUGAUACUACCUUUCUUUUGUUAUUGAAGUUUAUUGUUCCUUCUCUCUUGUUUGGUGGUUGUGCACCUAUAUUGAUUUGUACUUCUGUUAAUUAAUUAUAGUCCUUCUCUCUUGUUUGAGUAAUUAUUGUCUACCAUUGUGUCAGCAAAGGCUUCCCGUGGAAAUUUAGUUUGUUGUGUUGCAUGUCCAAGAUGAUUUUUGUGAUUUUAGUAUUAGAUACAUAAAAGGGAUUUUGCAUCACCACAUGAAUGACUAUUUCUAAAUAUGAACCUACAAUAACCCCAAAUGAAUACCGAAUUAAAUUGGAAACAAGGCAGAUAGAGAGUGAGAUGGAGAGUGUUUGUGUGUGCUUUAGAGUAGUUUUAAACACAUUUUUUUAGGUUUGUUUAAGACUAAGUUUGUUUCACUUGCAUAAGACUAAGUUUGUUUAAAGUGCAUUUUCACUCAUUUUGAACUUUUUGUUAGUUUGUGAGUUACGAACUUACACUUAAGCAUUGUUAGUUAAUUUCAAACAACAUUUUGUGUUUGUUUGGAACUAAGUUUAUUUAGACAUUUGAUUGACAUGUUGGGUCUCCAAGUGCUUUUUUCCACACUUUUUGAAAUUUUGGUAGGUUGUGAGUUACGAACUUACGCUCGAGUAUUGUUUGGUCCAUUUGAAAGCUUAUACACAUUUUGAACUCUUUUUAAGAUAACUUGAAACUAAGUUCAUUGCACUUACAUACUUCGUUGCCGUUUUGGGUCUUAAAGUACCUUUUUCACACUUUUUGAAAUUUUGGUAGGUUGUGAGUUACAAACUUACACUUAAGCAUUACUUGGUUGUUUUGAAAAUUCAAGUGAUACUUACACACGUUUUGAAUACAUUUUAGGUUAGAUUGAGUUUGUUGCACUUGGUUGUCAUUUUUGGUCUUGAAAUGCUUUUUUCAACCUUUUUGGUAGAUUAUGAGUUACGAACUUACACUUAGGAUUUGCUUGGUCGUUUUGAAAACUCAAGUAAUACAUAGGCACGUUUUGAGCACGUUUUAGGUUGGUUUGCAUUAAGUUUGUUUCACUUGCAUAAUUGGUUGUCAUUUUAGGUCUCAAAGUGCAUUUUCACUCAUUUUGAACUUUUUGUUAGUUUGUGAGUUACGAACUUACACUUAAGCAUUGUUAGUUAAUUUCAAACAACAUUUUGUGUUUGUUUGGAACUAAGUUUGUUUAGACAUUUGAUUGACAUGUUGGGUCUCCAAGUGCUUUUUUCCACACUUUUUGAAAUUUUGGUAGGUUGUGAGUUACGAACUUACGCUCGAGUAUUGUUUGGUCCAUUUGAAAGCUUAUACACAUUUUGAACUCUUUUUAAGAUAACUUGAAACUAAGUUCAUUGCACUUACAUACUUCGUUGCCGUUUUGGGUCUUAAAGUACCUUUUUCACACUUUUUGAAAUUUUGGUAGGUUGUGAGUUACAAACUUACACUUAAGCAUUACUUGGUUGUUUUGAAAAUUCAAGUGAUACUUACACACGUUUUGAAUACAUUUUAGGUUAGAUUGAGUUUGUUGCACUUGGUUGUCAUUUUUGGUCUUGAAAUGCUUUUUUCAACCUUUUUGGUAGAUUAUGAGUUACGAACUUACACUUAGGAUUUGCUUGGUCGUUUUGAAAACUCAAGUAAUACAUAGGCACGUUUUGAGCACGUUUUAGGUUGGUUUGCAUUAAGUUUGUUUCACUUGCAUAAUUGGUUGUCAUUUUAGGUCUCAAAGUGCAUUUUCACUCAUUUUGAACUUUUUGUUAGUUUGUGAGUUACGAACUUACACUUAAGCAUUGUUAGUUAAUUUCAAACAACAUUUUGUGUUUGUUUGGAACUAAGUUUGUUUAGACAUUUGAUUGACAUGUUGGGUCUCCAAGUGCUUUUUUCCACACUUUUUGAAAUUUUGGUAGGUUGUGAGUUACGAACUUACGCUCGAGUAUUGUUUGGUCCAUUUGAAAGCUUAUACACAUUUUGAACUCUUUUUAAGAUAACUUGAAACUAAGUUCAUUGCACUUACAUACUUCGUUGCCGUUUUGGGUCUUAAAGUACCUUUUUCACACUUUUUGAAAUUUUGGUAGGUUGUGAGUUACAAACUUACACUUAAGCAUUACUUGGUUGUUUUGAAAAUUCAAGUGAUACUUACACACGUUUUGAAUACAUUUUAGGUUAGAUUGAGUUUGUUGCACUUGGUUGUCAUUUUUGGUCUUGAAAUGCUUUUUUCAACCUUUUUGGUAGAUUAUGAGUUACGAACUUACACUUAGGAUUUGCUUGGUCGUUUUGAAAACUCAAGUAAUACAUAGGCACGUUUUGAGCACGUUUUAGGUUGGUUUGCAUUAAGUUUGUUUCACUUGCAUAAUUGGUUGUCAUUUUAGGUCUCAAAGUGCAUUUUCACUCAUUUUGAACUUUUUGUUAGUUUGUGAGUUACGAACUUACACUUAAGCAUUGUUAGUUAAUUUCAAACAACAUUUUGUGUUUGUUUGGAACUAAGUUUGUUUAGACAUUUGAUUGACAUGUUGGGUCUCCAAGUGCUUUUUUCCACACUUUUUGAAAUUUUGGUAGGUUGUGAGUUACGAACUUACGCUCGAGUAUUGUUUGGUCCAUUUGAAAGCUUAUACACAUUUUGAACUCUUUUUAAGAUAACUUGAAACUAAGUUCAUUGCACUUACAUACUUCGUUGCCGUUUUGGGUCUUAAAGUACCUUUUUCACACUUUUUGAAAUUUUGGUAGGUUGUGAGUUACAAACUUACACUUAAGCAUUACUUGGUUGUUUUGAAAAUUCAAGUGAUACUUACACACGUUUUGAAUACAUUUUAGGUUAGAUUGAGUUUGUUGCACUUGGUUGUCAUUUUUGGUCUUGAAAUGCUUUUUUCAACCUUUUUGGUAGAUUAUGAGUUACGAACUUACACUUAGGAUUUGCUUGGUCGUUUUGAAAACUCAAGUAAUACAUAGGCACGUUUUGAGCACGUUUUAGGUUGGUUUGCAUUAAGUUUGUUUCACUUGCAUAAUUGGUUGUCAUUUUAGGUCUCAAAGUGCAUUUUCACUCAUUUUGAACUUUUUGUUAGUUUGUGAGUUACGAACUUACACUUAAGCAUUGUUAGUUAAUUUCAAACAACAUUUUGUGUUUGUUUGGAACUAAGUUUGUUUAGACAUUUGAUUGACAUGUUGGGUCUCCAAGUGCUUUUUUCCACACUUUUUGAAAUUUUGGUAGGUUGUGAGUUACGAACUUACGCUCGAGUAUUGUUUGGUCCAUUUGAAAGCUUAUACACAUUUUGAACUCUUUUUAAGAUAACUUGAAACUAAGUUCAUUGCACUUACAUACUUCGUUGCCGUUUUGGGUCUUGAAGUACCUUUUUCACACUUUUUGAAAUUUUGGUAGGUUGUGAGUUACAAACUUACACUUAAGCAUUACUUGGUUGUUUUGAAAAUUCAAGUGAUACUUACACACGUUUUGAUUACAUUUUAGGUUAGAUUGAGUUUGUUGCACUUGGUUGUCAUUUUUGGUCUUGAAAUGCUUUUUUCAACCUUUUUGGUAGAUUAUGAGUUACGAACUUACACUUAGGAUUUGCUUGGUCGUUUUGAAAACUCAAGUAAUACAUAGGCACGUUUUGAGCACGUUUUAGGUUGGUUUGCAUUAAGUUUGUUGCACUUACACACUUGGUUGCCAUUUUGGGUCUUGUAGUGCUUUUUUUACAAUAUUUGAACUUUUUUCGUAGGUUAUGAGUUACGAACCUACACGUAAGCUUUUUUAGGUCGUUUUGAAAGUUCAAGUGAUACUUAGACACGUUUUGAACUCGUUUUAGGUUGGUUUGAAACUAAGUUUUAAACACAUUUGAUUGACAUGUUGGGUCUUGAAGUACUUUUUUCACACUUUUUGAAAUUUUGGUAGGUUGUGAGUUACAAACUUACACUUAAGCAUUGCUUGGUCAUUUGAAAAUUCAAGUGAUACUUACACACGUUUUGAAUUCAUUUUAGGUUAGAUUGAGUUUGUUGCACUUACACACUUGGUUCUCAUUUUUGGUCUCGAAAUGCUUUUUUCAACCUUUUUGGUAGAUUAUGAGUUACGAACUUACACUUAGGAUUUGCUUGGUCGUUUUGAAAACUCAAGUAAUACAUAGGCACGUUUUGAGCACGUUUUAGGUUGGUUUGCAUUAAGUUUGUUGCACUUACACACUUGGUUGCCAUUUUGGGUCUUGUAGUGCUUUUUUUACAAUAUUUGAACUUUUUUCGUAGGUUAUGAGUUACGAACCUACACGUAAGCUUUUUUAGGUUGUUUUGAAAGUUCAAGUGAUACUUAGACACGUUUUGAACUCGUUUUAGGUUGGUUUGAAACUAAGUUUUAAACACAUUUGAUUGACAUGUUGGGUCUUGAAGUACUUUUUUCACACUUUUUGAAAUUUUGGUAGGUUGUGAGUUACAAACUUACACUUAAGCAUUGCUUGGUCGUUUGAAAAUUCAAGUGAUACUUACACACGUUUUGAAUUCAUUUUAGGUUAGAUUGAGUUUGUUGCACUUACACACUUGGUUGUCAUUUUUGGUCUCGAAAUGCUUUUUUCAACCUUUUUGGUAGAUUAUGAGUUACGAACUUACACUUAGGAUUUGCUUGGGCGUUUUGAAAUCUCAAGUAAUACAUGGACACGUUUUGAGCACGUUUUAGGUUGGUUUGCACUAAGUUUGUUGCACUUACACACUUGGUUGCCAUUUUGGGUCUUGUAGUGCUUUUUUCACAAUAUUUGAACUUUUUUCGUAGGUUAUGAGUUACGAACCUACACGUAAGCUUUUUUAGGUCGUUUUGAAAGUUCAAGUGAUACUUAGACAUGUUUUGAACUCGUUUUAGGUUGGUUUGAAACUAAGUUUCAAACACAUUUGAUUGACAUGUUGGGUCUUGAAGUACUUUUUACGUGUUAUUGUGGCUUCGGUCGAGAGUGAAGAGUUUCCAAUCAGAGUUUCCUACCAAAACACUUUCUAAGAUUAAAGUAACUGAACAACUUCUGUAAUUCUGCUCUCCAGAAAAUACAGCCCCUCCACUUCCAGAAACUGAUUAACCAACCCCCAUCUUUCCUUCCAUCUCUCCCUUUUAACCUCCCCCUGUAACUAACUGUUGUCCCCACUAAGGUGGUUUCCACUCCCUCCAAUUCCAUCACCUGUGCACGUGCAAUUCCACUUGUCUUUCUUCUGCUAUAUUGUAUUGCAAUUGGUGGUCUAUCAUUACUCUCCCUCUCCAAAGACACCUUGUUCUCAAGGUGGGAAAUGAGGAAGCUUUUGUGUAAAAUCAUCACAAUUCUCCCAUGUAGCCUCAUGAGGUGGUAUUCCUUUCCAACUAACAAGCACUUCCCACUUCUUUGUUGCUGGAUUUUUAGGAUAGCCAAAAUUGUCUCUAGUAACUCUUGAAAUGUAGGAACAUCAUCAAUUCCAUAUAGUUCGGUAAAUGUCAUUCCUCCCUCCAUAGCUCGACAUUUUGUCAAGAAACCGUAAUCAGAUGGUGUCCAUGUCUCCAUCAUGUGUUACAGACUCACUCUAGUCUUUGUCAAACUCGGGUCACCCCUUAUAACAACAUUCUUUUCAUUUUGUAUGAAAG
rnacentral:lncRNA from 1 species